rnacentral:rRNA from 1 species
CGGCGUGCUUAACACAUGCAAGUCGAACGAGAAGAGAUGAGAAGCUUGCUUCUUAUCGAUUCGAGUGGCAAACGGGUGAGUAACGCGUAAGCAACCUGCCCUUCAGAUGGGGACAACAGCUGGAAACGGCUGCUAAUACCGAAUACGUUCUCUUUAUCGCAUGGCAGAGGGAAGAAAGGGAGGCUCUUCGGAGCUUUCGCUGAAGGAGGGGCUUGCGUCUGAUUAGCUAGUUGGAGGGGUAACGGCCCACCAAGGCGACGAUCAGUAGCCGGUCUGAGAGGAUGAACGGCCACAUUGGGACUGAGACACGGCCCAGACUCCUACGGGAGGCAGCAGUGGGGAAUCUUCCGCAAUGGGCGAAAGCCUGACGGAGCAAUGCCGCGUGAGUGAUGAAGGGAUUCGUUCCGUAAAGCUCUUUUGUUUAUGACGAAUGUGCAGACUGUGAAUAAUGGUUUGUAAUGACGGUAGUAAACGAAUAAGCCACGGCUAACUACGUG